AUUGAACGCUGGCGGAAUGCUUUACACAUGCAAGUCGAACGGCAGCACGGACUUCGGUCUGGUGGCGAGUGGCGAACGGGUGAGUAAUGUAUCGGGACGUGCCCAGUCGUGGGGGAUAACGUAGUGAAAAUUACGCUAAUACCGCAUACGAUCUAUGGAUGAAAGCGGGGGAUCGCAAGACCUCGCGCGAUUGGAGCGGCCGAUAGCAGAUUAGGUAGGUGGUGGGGUAAAGGCCCACCAAGCAAACGAUCUGUAGCUGGUCUGAGAGGACGACCAGCCACACUGGAACUGAGACACGGUCCAGACUCCUACGGGAGGCAGCAGUGGGGAAUUUUGGACAAUGGGCGAAAGCCUGAUCCAGCCAUUCCGCGUGCAGGAUGAAGGCCCUCGGGUUGUAAACUGCUUUUGUACAGAACGAAAAGGUUUCUACUAAUACUAGGAGCUCAUGACGGUACUGUAAGAAUAAGCACCGGCUAACUACGUGCCAGCCGCCGCCGUAA
rnacentral:rRNA from 1 species